rnacentral:tRNA from 34 species
GGGUCGUUAGCUCAGUUGGUAGAGCAGUUGACUUUUAAUCAAUUGGUCGCAGGUUCGAAUCCUGCAC